rnacentral:rRNA from 1 species
UACGUAGGGGGCAAGCGUUGUCCGGAUUUAUUGGGCGUAAAGAGCGUGUAGGCGGCCAAGCAGGUCCGCUGUGAAAACUCGAGGCUCAACCUCGAGAGGUCGGUGGAAACCGUUUGGCUAGAGUCCGGAAGAGGAGAGUGGAAUUCCCGGUGUAGCGGUGAAAUGCGCAGAUAUCGGGAAGAACACCCGUGGCGAAGGCGGCUCUCUGGGACGGUACUGACGCUGAGACGCGAAAGCGUGGGGA